UGCCUUACACAUGCAAGUCGGACGGCAGCGCGGGCUUCGGCCUGGCGGCGAGUGGCGAACGGGUGAGUAAUACAUCGGAACAUGUCCAGUAGUGGGGGAUAGCCCGGCGAAAGCCGGAUUAAUACCGCAUACGAUCUGUGGAUGAAAGCGGGGGAUCUUCGGACCUCGCGCUAUUGGGGUGGCCGAUGGCGGAUUAGGUAGUUGGUAGGGUAAAGGCCUACCAAGGCGACGAUCGCUAGCUGGUCUGAGAGGAUGAUCAGCCACACUGGAACUGAGACACGGUCCAGACUCCUACGGGAGGCAGCAGUGGGGAAUAUUGGACAAUGGGCGCAAGCCUGAUCCAGCAAUGCCGCGUGUGUGAAGAAGGCCUUCGGGUUGUAAAGCAC
rnacentral:rRNA from 1 species